GCUCAGAAAUUGUACAGAGUAAUCUCUGUAUGAGUUCACAAUUGCUUAAUACAACAACUUUUGACUCAUUGUUACAAUAUCUCUUUCUUCUUCUCAGUAGUUAGUUUUGAAAUGAAGUAUGGGCUGUUAAUGAUUUCUUUGCACUGUACUAUGAAUGUUAGCUCUCAGAAUUUGCUAGAAGCUGUACAGGUGGCUAAAGGUGGAAUCCUAACAGCACCUACAAAGAGCUCUUUGCCAUGUCAGACUACCUUUGGUUUGAAGGAAUACCUUUCCCUGCAUUAUGGAUUGAAAAAGAAAUACUUGAAGAAAUCGGUGAUAAGUUUGUGGUUAGAGAUGAAGACACAGUCAUAUUGACUUAUCCCAAAUCAGGAACUAACUGGCUGAUUGAGAUUGUCUGCUUGAUUCAGACCAAGGGGAAUCCCAAGUGGAUUCAAUCUAGGCCCAUCUGGGAACGCUCACCCUGGGUAGAGACUCAAAUAGGACAUCCAAUUUUAAUCAAUCAGGAAGGACCACGCCUCAUCACCUCUCAUCUUCCCUUCCAUCUUUUCCCCAAGUCUUUCUUCAGUUCCAAGGCUAAGAUGAUCUAUGUCAUCAGAAAUCCCAGAGAUGUUCUUGUCUCUGGUUAUUUUUUCUUCCAUAAGACAAACCUUAUUAAGAAUCCAGAGUCUCUGACAAAUUAUUUUGAACGGUUCCUCAAAGGAAGUGUUAUAUAUGGAUCAUGGUUUGAGCACACCCGUGCCUGGCUGUCCAUGAGAGAAAGGGACAACUUCCUGCUUUUGAGCUAUGAAGACAUGAAACAGGACACAAGAGGAACUAUAGAGAAGAUCUGUGACUUCCUAGGAAAGAAACUGGAGAAAGAUGAGCUAGAUCUGGUCCUCAAGUACAGUUCCUUCCAAGUCAUGAAAGAAAAUAAAAUGUCCAAUUUUAGCCUCAUGCCAGAACAUGUGAUUACUCAUGUAUUGCAUCUCAUGAGGAAAGGUGAAGAGAAAUAUAUCUAGCUUCAAAUUAUGUCAGGAUAUGUGGAGAGCUUGUUGUUUUAAUGAAACUAUAAGCACGACUGGAGACUGGAAGAAUCACUUUACUGUAGCACAAGCUGAAACCUUUGACAAAGUAUUCCAGGAGAAAAUGAUUGGUUUCCCACCAGAACUGUUCCCAUGGCAAUAAAUUCUUAAAACUUUUAAAUCAUGUAUUUGAACUGUGAAUUACUGGGUGUGGUCAAAGAAUAAAUCCUAUAAUUGAA